rnacentral:rRNA from 1 species
AUUGAACGCUGGCGGCAGGCCUAACACAUGCAAGUCGAACGAGCGGCGGACGGGUGAGUAAUGUCUGGGGAACUGCCCGAUGGAGGGGGAUAACUACUGGAAACGGUAGCUAAUACCGCAUACCAUCGGAUGAGCCCAUAUGGGAUUAGCUUGUAGGUGAGGUAACGGCUCACCUAGGCGACGAUCCCUAGCUGGUCUGAGAGGAUGAACCGCCACACUGGAACUGAGACACGGUCCAGACGCCUACGGGAGGCAGCAGUGGGGAAUAUGGCACAAUGGGCUCAAGCCUGAUGCAGCCAUGCCGCGUGUAUGAAGAAGGCCUUCGGGGUGUAAAGUACUUUCAGCGGGGAGGCGUUACCCGCAGAAGAAGCACCGGCUAACUCCGUGCCAGCAGCCGCGGUAAUAC